CCUUCGGGUUGUAAAGCUCUGUCGAACGGGACGAAAAUGCCGAGAGUGAAUAGCUCUCGGAACUGACGGUACCGUUAAAGGAAGCACCGGCUAACUCCGUGC
rnacentral:rRNA from 1 species